rnacentral:rRNA from 1 species
GCACUGUCGGUAGGCUAUACAUGCAGUCGAGCGAAUGGAUUGAGAGCUUGCUCUCAUGAAGUUAGCGGCGGACGGGUGAGUAACACGUGGGUAACCUGCCCAUAAGACUGGGAUAACUCCGGGAAACCGGGGCUAAUACCGGAUAACAUUUUGAACUGCAUGGUUCGAAAUUGAAAGGCGGCUUCGGCUGUCACUUAUGGAUGGACCCGCGUCGCAUUAGCUAGUUGGUGAGGUAACGGCUCACCAAGGCAACGAUGCGUAGCCGACCUGAGAGGGUGAUCGGCCACACUGGGACUGAGACACGGCCCAGACUCCUACGGGAGGCAGCAGUAGGGAAUCUUCCGCAAUGGACGAAAUCACGGAGGACAGACGGCCGGUUGACGUGCAUUGAAUCGGGUUCGGGUCGUCAAACUCUGUUGGUUACGGGAGAACAAGGGCUAGUAGAUUAAGGCUGACAACUUGACGGGUACCUAAUCUGAACGACAUGGCUAACCUACGUGCCAGCAGACCCAGUAAUACGUAAGUAGGUAGCGUUACUCCCGUAUUAUUUGGGCGUAAAGGCGCGCACAGGUGCUUUCUUAAUGUCUGAUGUGAAAGUCCCAACGGCCUCAACCAGUGGAGCGUCAUUGGAAACUGGGAGACCUGGAGUGCAGAAGAGGCAAAGUGGAAACUUCCAUGUGUAGCGGUGAAAUGCGUAGAGAUAUGAAGGAACGCCAAGUGGUCGAACGGCGACUUUCUGGUCUGUAACUGACACUGAGGCGCGAAAUGCGUGGGGAGCAAACACGAUUAGAUACCCCUAGGUAGUUCCACGCCAGUCACACGAUGAGUGGCUAAGUGUUAGAUGGUUUCCCGUCCCUUUAGUGCUGACAGUUAACGCAUUAAAGCACUCCUCCAGGGGAGUACCCGCCGCAAGGAUGAAACUCAGAGGAAUUGACGGGGGGCCGGCACAAGCCGGUGGAGGCAUGUGGUAUCACUUCGGAGCGACGCGCAGCAACUUACCACGUCAUGACAUGCUCUGAACAGCCUAGAGAUAGGGUAGCUCAUUCGGGAGCAGAGGUGACAGAUGGUGCAUGCAUGUCGUCAGCCUCCUGUCUUGAGUAUGUUGGGUUAAGUCCCCCCACAAGAGCAACCCCUCGAUCUUAGUUGCCAUCAUUACAGGGGGGACUCUCAAGGUAACUGCCGCUAACAAACCGGAGGCAGGUGGGGUGGAUCCCAUAUCAUCCUGCCCCUUAUGACCUGGGCUACACACGUGCUACAAUGGACGGUACAAAGAGCUGCAAGACCGCGAGGUGGAGCUAAUCUCAUAAAACCGUUCUCAGUUCGGAUUGUAGGCUGCAACUCGCCUACAUGAAGCUGGAAUCGCUAGUAAUCGCGGAUCAGCAUGCCGCGGUGAAUACGUUCCCGGGCCUUGUACACACCGCCCGUCACACCACGAGAGUUUGUAACACCCGAAGUCGGUGGGGUAACCUUUUUGGAGCCAGCCGCCUAAGGUGGCACAGAUGAUUGGGGCAAGUCGAACAAUGAGACCACCC